rnacentral:ncRNA from 1 species
UCAAACGGGGUGCUGACGCAAGUUGGCUGAGAUCGGACGUGGCCGUCCGGGACCCUGGAACCUGAUCCGGAUAAUGCCGGCGUAGGAAACACG